GUGAACGCUGACAGAAUGCUUAACACAUGCAAGUCUUUGGCGAAGCUGUGCUUGCACAGCCUAGCCAAGGCGGACGGGUGAGUAACGCGUAAGGAACUUGCCCUGCAGUCAGGGAUAACAGACGGAAACGACUGAUAAGACCUGGUAAAGUCAGGCGGACUCAUGUCCAGCCUGAUGAAAAGAGAUGCUGCAGGAGAGCCUUGCGUCCUAUUAGCUUGUUGGUGGGGUAACGGCCCACCAAGGCGAUGAUAGGUAGCCGGCCUGAGAGGGUGGACGGCCACAAGGGGACUGAGAUACGGCCCUUACUCCUACGGGAGGCAGCAGUGGGGAAUAUUGGACAAUGGGGGCAACCCUGAUCCAGCAAUUCUGUGUGCACGAUGAAGGUUUUCGGAUUGUAAAGUGCUUUCAGCAGGGAAGAAAAAAUGACGGUACCUGCAGAAGAAGCGACGGCUAAAUACGUG
rnacentral:rRNA from 1 species